UACGUAGGGUGCGAGCGUUAAUCGGAAUUACUGGGCGUAAAGCGUGCGCAGGCGGCUUUGCAAGACAGAUGUGAAAUCCCCGGGCUCAACCUGGGAACUGCAUUUGUGACUGUAUAGCUAGAGUACGGUAGAGGGGGAUGGAAUUCCGCGUGUAGCAGUGAAAUGCGUAGAUAUGCGGAGGAACACCGAUGGCGAAGGCAAUCCCCUGGA
rnacentral:rRNA from 1 species